GUGCUCACUUCAGCAGCACAUAUACUAAAACUGGAAUGAUACAGAGAAGAUUAGCAUGGCCCCUGUGCAAGGAUGUCACACAAAUUCGUGAUCGUUCCAUAUUUUUU
ensembl:snRNA U6 U6 spliceosomal RNA